UUAUUUUUAAGGGCCGCGGUAAUUUGACUGUGCAAAGGUAGCAUAGUAGUUAGUUUUUUAAUUGAGAUCUUGUAUGAAUGGUUGGACAAAAGAAAUACUGUCUCUAGAAUUAUUAUUGAAUUUAACUUUUAAGUGAAAAGGCUUAAAUUAUUUAAGAAGACGAUAAGACCCUAUAAAGCAUUUUGUUGGGGAGACAAUAUUAUAAUUAGUAACUGUUAAUAAAUGAUACAUUAAUAUAUGAAAAGAUCCUAAAUAAAGAUUAGAAGUUUAAGUUACUUUAGGGAUAACAGCGUUAUUUUUUUUAAGAGUUCAUAUCGAAAAAAAAGAUUGCGACCUCGAUGUUGAAUUAAAAAUUCUAAAUAAUUGCAGCAGUUAUUUGAGAAGGUCUGUUCGACCUUUAAAUUUUU
rnacentral:rRNA from 1 species